rnacentral:snoRNA from 1 species
ACGGCGUGAUGGGGACAUUUCCGGAUAAGAUCUUUUAAUCUUUCCCAUGACUCAUGGAACUGCUCACCAUCUUGUUGUGAAAAGCUAGUGAGAGCUCGCCUU